rnacentral:rRNA from 1 species
GAUGAACGCUGGCGGCGUGCCUAAUACAUGCAAGUCGAGCGAACAGACGAGGAGCUUGCUCCUCUGACGUUAGCGGCGGACGGGUGAGUAACACGUGGAUAACCUACCUAUAAGACUGGGAUAACUUCGGGAAACCGGAGCUAAUACCGGAUAAUAUAUUGAACCGCAUGGUUCAAUAGUGAAAGACGGUUUUGCUGUCACUUAUAGAUGGAUCCGCGCCGCAUUAGCUAGUUGGUAAGGUAACGGCUUACCAAGGCAACGAUGCGUAGCCGACCUGAGAGGGUGAUCGGCCACACGGGAACUGAGACACGGUCCAGACUCCUACGGGGGGCAGCAGUAGGGAAUCUUGCGCAAUGGGCGAAAGCCUGACGGAGCAACGCCGCGUGAAUGAUGAAGGUCUUCGGAUCGUAAAACUCUGUUAUUAGGGAAGAACAAAUGUGUAAGUAACUAGGCACGUCUUGACGGUACCUAAUCAGAAAGCCACGGCUAACUACGUG